UACGGGGGGGGCAAGCGUUGUUCGGAAUUACUGGGCGUAAAGGGCUUGUAGGUGGCCAACUAAGUCAGACGUGAAAUCCCUCGGCUUAACCGGGGAACUGCGUCUGAUACUGGAUGGCUAGAGUUUGGGAGAGGGAUGCGGAAUUCCAGGUGUAGCGGUGAAAUGCGUAGAUAUCGUAAGGAAGACCAGUGGCGAAGGCGGGUCUCUGGACAGUUCCUGACGCUGAGGCACGAAGGCCAGGGGAGCAAACGGG
rnacentral:rRNA from 1 species